rnacentral:rRNA from 1 species
GAUCCUGGCUCAGGAUGAACGCUAGCUACAGGCUUAACACAUGCAAGUCGAGGGGCAGCAUGACCUAGCAAUAGGUUGAUGGCGACCGGCGCACGGGUGAGUAACACGUAUCCAACCUACCGGUUAUUCCGGGAUAGCCUUUCGAAAGAAAGAUUAAUACCGGAUAGUAUAACGAGAAGGCAUCUUCUUGUUAUUAAAGAAUUUCGAUAACCGAUGGGUAUGCGUUCCAUUAGUUUGUUGGCGGGGUAACGGCCCGACCAAG